AGAGUUUGAUCCUGGCUCAGGAUGAACGCUGGCGGCGUGCCUAAUACAUGCAAGUCGAGCGAACGGAUAAGGAGCUUGCUCCUUUGAAGUUAGCGGCGGACGGGUGAGUAACACGUGGGUAACCUACCUAUAAGACUGGAAUAACUUCGGGAAACCGGAGCUAAUGCCGGAUAACAUUUGGAACCGCAUGGUUCUAAAGUAAAAGAUGGUUUUGCUAUCACUUAUAGAUGGACCCGCGCCGUAUUAGCUAGUUGGUAAGGUAACGGCUUACCAAGGCAACGAUACGUAGCCGACCUGAGAGGGUGAUCGGCCACACUGGAACUGAGACACGGUCCAGACUCCUACGGGAGGCAGCAGUAGGGAAUCUUCCGCAAUGGACGAAAGUCUGACGGAGCAACGCCGCGUGAGUGAUGAAGGUUUUCGGAUCGUAAAACUCUGUUAUUAGGGAAGAACAAAUGUGUAAGUAACUGUGCACAUCUUGACGGUACCUAAUCAGAAAGCCACGGCUAACUACGUGCCAGCAGCCGCGGUAAUACGUAGGUGGCAAGCGUUAUCCGGAAUUAUUGGGCGUAAAGCGCGCGUAGGCGGUUUCUUAAGUCUGAUGUGAAAGCCCACGGCUCAACCGUGGAGGGUCAUUGGAAACUGGGAAACUUGAGUACAGAAGAGGAAAGUGGAAUUCCAUGUGUAGCGGUGAAAUGCGCAGAGAUAUGGAGGAACACCAGUGGCGAAGGCGACUUUCUGGUCUGUAACUGACGCUGAUGUGCGAAAGCGUGGGGAUCAAACAGGAUUAGAUACCCUGGUAGUCCACGCCGUAAACGAUGAGUGCUAAGUGUUAGGGGGUUUCCGCCCCUUAGUGCUGCAGCUAACGCAUUAAGCACUCCGCCUGGGGAAUACGACCGCAAGGUUGAAACUCAAAUGAAUUGACGG
rnacentral:rRNA from 1 species